CCCAGCUCCCCAGCUUUACCAGGGAGCUUGCCCUCUAGGACAAGUGCCUUGCACAGCUGAGGGUGGUCAGAGUAUUUAAAACCUGGAGGAAGCACCUCCUUCUUACUGCAGAAAGUUGUGUGGGAAAGAGAGAUUGCUCUCUUAGAAGAGGGAAGUCAGCAAGAGAUUGUAUGGCUUCUUCCAGAUGAGCAACAAAUACUGUGCAGAUGGAUACACAGCGGUCUAGUGGAACUCCAUGGCCCUGGAACUGGAGAGGCUCUUACCUAAGACGUUUGGCAAUCCCUAGGUAUCUUCAGUUCUGUCCUCAAGGUACUAAAGAAUAUACUGUACCUUAUUUUGGGAAU
rnacentral:lncRNA from 1 species